rnacentral:lncRNA from 1 species
AAGGGUUCCUGACCCCUGUGGUUGAAUUAGGAAAAAGUUGGAAGAGACUGAGGAGGAGGGUGACCCUACAGGAGGACCAGCAGUUUCAAUUAACCUGGACACCUGUUUUCCUCUCAAACACUGGACCACCAACCAGACAGCAUACACUAACUGUUAUGGGGCCCCCAAUACAUACACAACAGAGGACUCCUGGGUCUCGGUUCAGGCAGAGAAGAUGCACCUAACCCUCAAGAGAGUAGAGGGAGUUGGGAAUGAGGAGGUCUGGUGGGAUGGGGGUGGAAGGGACAUCGUUGUGGAGAUAAGGAUGGGGAGGUAUGAAAUGUGGAACAGUCAGAGGAUGGACCUGGAGGGAAAUAGAUUUUGGAGUGUGAAAAAGAGUUUAAAUUACAAAAAGAUAAAAAACACAUUAUAAAAUUUUAAAUCUUGGGGUUGGGGAUUUAGCUCAGUGGUAGAGCGCUUGCCUAGGAAGCGCAAGGCCCUGGGUUCGGUCCCCAGCUCCGAAAAAAAAAGAAAAAAAAAAGAGAGAACACGUGAUGUUUAAAAUUUUAAAUCUUAAACAAUUCUUUGAAGAACUGAUAUUUUUAAAGGUGUUCUGCAUUGCAUAGCCAAACCUUUGUUCCCAAAUAUGAAGAUACAAUUUUUAGUGAAGAUAUAUAUC